rnacentral:Y_RNA from 1 species
AGCUGAUCCAAGUACAGUAAUGUUUGCAACUAAUUGAUCACAAACAUUUACAGAUUUCUUUGUUCCUUCUCCACUCCCACUGCUUCACUUGACCUAAA